GACGUAGGGGGCAAGCGUUGUCCGGAUUUAUUGGGCGUAAAGAGCUCGUAGGUGGUUCGGUAAGUCGGAUGUGAAAUCUCCAGGCUCAACCUGGAGGGGUCAUUCGAUACUGCCGUGACUAGAGGUCGGUAGGGGAGUGUGGAAUUCCUGGUGGAGCGGUGAAAUGCGCAGAUAUCAGGAGGAACACCCGUAGCGAAGGCGGCACUCUGGGCCGAUACUGACACUGAGGAGCGAAAGCGUGGGGAGCGAACAGG
rnacentral:rRNA from 1 species